UACGUAGGGUGCAAGCGUUGUCCGGAAUUAUUGGGCGUAAAGAGCGUGUAGGCGGCCCGAUUAGUCUGCUGUGAAAGUCCAGGGCUCAACCCUGGAAUGCCGGUGGAUACUGUCGGGCUAGAGUCCGGAAGGGGCGAGUGGAAUUCCUGGUGUAGCGGUGAAAUGCGCAGAUAUCGGGAAGAACACCCGUGGCGAAGGCGGCUCUCUGGGACGGUACUGACGCUGAGACGCGAAAAGCGUGGGGAGCGAACAGG
rnacentral:rRNA from 1 species